rnacentral:lncRNA from 1 species
AAAAGGUAUUGACCAGGUAUUUAACUUUUUUUCAUACAUGUGUUCCCUUUACACGUACAGAGCCUCUCAGUUCCCACCCACCACGUUUCAAGCGCUCAAUAGCCUCAUGUGGCCAGUGUCUGCUAUAUUUGACAGCACAGAUAUAGAACAGUUCCGUCAUUGUAAAAAGUAUUGUGGGAGAAUGAAGCUCUAGAAGAUAGACAGAAUUAUUAUCUCCACUUUCCGAGGUGGAAAGAAACUCAGUGAGGCCCUAGGUCACACAGCUGGUAAGUGGCAGAUCCAGGAAGCUGGGUGUGACUGUCACCACAGCUCAUGUCCUUCUUAGCUACACAGUCUCCUGAAAACCCUGGUUUCUCUCUGUGUCCCCCAGGGCCCAGGGGCUGGCCAAAUGACCUCUGACCUCAACUCAUUAGGACAACCUAACCCCUGAGAAGUCUAGAGACAUAGCAGAAAGUCUAUGUCUCUCAACAAUCUAUUGCUGCAUCACAAAAACCCCAAAACUUAGUGGCUUAAAACAAUCCUAUUUCUUAUGAUUCUGUAGGUCAUGGGGAUGGGUCAUCCCUGUUCCACGUGGUAUUGACUAGGGUGGCUUGACAGGGGCCUAAGGGGCCCAGGCUGGCCUCUCUCACACAGACGCAGCUGGCACGGUUCAAAUAUCUGUAUGCUGCCUGGGACAACUGGGUCCCUUUACCUAUGAUGUUGGCUGGAGCCUCAGUUUUCACUCUCCUGGCCUCUAUCUCCACGUGGCCGCUCCUCCUGCAGGGUGACUUGGACUGAUUUACACGUCAAUUUGUUUUUCUCUGAGCUGAUGCGGAAGCUACAAGGUCCCUUCAGGUCUGAGCUCAGUAAUCUCAAGACAUCCCUCCUGCCACAUUCCAUUGGUCAAAUCAAGUCAGGCAGCCCAGAUUCAAGGAUACGGGGAAAAAGACCCCACCUGUUGAAGGGAGGAAGGCAUGUGCAUGCAGAGAUGGGAGGAAUUGUUGGCAGCCAUCUUUGCAGAGAAACUCUCACAGAAUGAGUCUCUGGGCCAUGGAGACAGGGGCUGGAGUUUGGGGGCUUCUUGGCCCAGCCUCACUCUUGCUGAUCCUCAGAGCACCUUGCCCUGUGUCAAACAAUUUGCUGACAUGGGCGGAGAAGCUUUCCUGGAUGAAGUGUCACAGCAGGCUGAGAAAGGGCAGGGACACGGGAGGGAGGCUGUUUGCUAGGCUCCUCCCUCAGGGAGUCCAGAGACAGCAUGAGUCUGAGUGCCACCUCAGACAAUGACAGGAAUGCAGAGCAUUCUGGAACCUUCAGGACUCCACAAAGACCAACCAAUAAACCUUUCAAGGUCAAAACAGUCUAGGAGCUAAAGCUACUAAGAAAGAGACAGCUGGAGGUAAGAUGGCCCGUACUGGGAGAGAGACCCCAGAGGAGAGAGCAGGUGGAAGGGGUUUCAAAGUGGAAACCCACUUUGAAGAGAGUACUGGGGUCCAGGAGAAGAAAGUCAAGGAUGCCUGGAAACGAGGCAUUGGACCAAGACAUGGAACCCAGGACACAGACGUGGAACCCUGGAACAGCUGGAUAACAUCUAUAAAGAGAAAUUUCCCAUCAUCAAUUAAUUGGUAACCUGAAGUAAAGUUCAUAUGUUAAUGGCAGCAUGAGCACCUUAUUUUUUCUCUGUAUUUACCUGUUUUCAAAAUAAUCCAAUGGCUCUCGAACGUCCUCCAAAGAUGACCUAUGAGGAUUGGUUUGGUUUGGUUUAGUUUAGUAUCAUUGUAAACUCAUGGAUUUAAACAUAUUUGAUGUGCUUUAAUCCAUUGCAGCUAUUAUCCUUGUGUUCCAAUCAUUAGCCAUGGACCCUUUUUCAAGUUUGCUUCCGGGUCUUUGUAUCUACAAUCUUGGAAGUCUUUGAUAUAUCUUUGCUUUCUAGAAAGACAAGACAUUCCAGGCUUACCUUGUACAUUUCCUACCUUAGAUCUCA